rnacentral:rRNA from 1 species
GUGAGCCAGUACAGGAUGGACCCGCGUCUGAUUAGCUAGUUGGUAAGGUAACGGCUUACCAAGGCGACGAUCAGUAGCCGACCUGAGAGGGUGAUCGGCCACAUUGGAACUGAGACACGGUCCAAACUCCUACGGGAGGCAGCAGUGGGGAAUAUUGCACAAUGGGCGAAAGCCUGAUGCAGCAACGCCGCGUGAGUGAUGAAGGCCUUCGGGUCGUAAAACGCUGUCCUCAAGGAAGAUAAUGCCGGUACUUGAGGAGGAAGCCCCGGCUAACUACGUGCCAGCAGCCGCGGUAAUACGUAGGGGGCUAGCGUUAUCCGGAUUUACUGGGCGUAAAGGGUGCGUAGGCGGUCUUUCAAGUCAGGAGUGAAAGGCU